AUUGCACUGAUUACGUCCCGAUCCGUAUGCACUCGAAUGUUUUAAAAUUGUCCAUUUAAUUUUGUAUGGGCGAUCGCCCAUACAAAAUUAAAUGGACAAUUUUAAAACAUUCGAGUGCAUACGGAUCGGGACGUAACCAGUGCAAU